rnacentral:rRNA from 1 species
GACGUAGGGCGCGAGCGUUGUCCGGAUUUAUUGGGCGUAAAGGGUUUGUAGGUGGUCUGCUAAGUCAGACGUGAAAUCCCUCAGCUUAACUGGGGAACUGCGUCUGAUACUGGCGGACUUGAGGACAGGAGAGGAACGCGGAAUUCCAGGUGUAGCGGUGAAAUGCGCAGAUAUCAGGAAGAACACCAAUGGCGAAGGCAGCUCUCUGGGACGGUACUGACGCUGAGACGCGAAAGCGUGGGGAGCGAACAGG